GUGCCUAUAGCUCAACUGGAUAGAGUGUUUGGCUACGAACCAAAAGGUUGCGAGUUCAAGUCUUGCUAGGCACGCCA
rnacentral:tRNA from 1 species